CCUACGGGUGGCAGCAGUGAGGAAUAUUGGUCAAUGGGCGUAAGCCUGAACCAGCCAAGUCGCGUGAGGGAUGAAGGUUCUAUGGAUCGUAAACCUCUUUUAUAAGGGAAUAAAGUGCGGGACGUGUCCUGUUUUGUAUGUACCUUAUGAAUAAGGAUCGGCUAACGCCGUGCCAGCAGCCGCGGUAAUACGGAGGAUCCGAGCGUUAUCCGGAUUUAUUGGGUUUAAAGGGUGCGUAGGCGGCAUUUUAAGUCAGCGGUGAAAGUCUGUGGCUCAACCAUAGAAUUGCAGUUGAAACUGGGUUGCUUGAGUAUGUGAGAGGCAGGCGGAAUGCGUGGUGUAGCGGUGAAAUGCGUAGAUAUAACGCAGAACACCGGUUGCGAAGGCAGACUGCUAAGCCAUGACUGACGCUGAUGCACGAAAGCGUGGGGAUCAAACAGGAUUAGAUACCCGAGUAGUC
rnacentral:rRNA from 1 species